AUAAAACUGCCACCGGGUAGAUAAUGCGAAAAGCAUUCAUAGCGUAUCGUUAGGUCUUUGUAGAUACGCGUGAAUGCUUAUUUUUUU
rnacentral:ncRNA from 1 species